UCUUGCUCCUCAGGGGCAUGGAUUACCAUUACAGUGCUUCCCAGGACACUGAGAGUACACCCCAACUUCCCCAAGACAUUCAGGCUCUCUCCGAGCAGAUAGGAAGACAUCACAGCGCUGAAAGGGCAAUUUAAUGAGUCGGGAUACAUUGACACCUUACAAGGUUUUCUCCCCUGCGCACCACUCAUACCUGCACGCGUCCCUCCUUGUCGACACAGGCGUAGGAGCCCUUUCUUUUUGAGGAUGACGCUGCUGCCAAUAAGGAGGCUGGACAACACGGCCAACAGCAAACCGCUAAGGAAUUCGUAGUUUUGUGUUACAGCCUGCGACAAGCCGGCGUCCAGCGUCAGGUUCUGAUAGACAGAGCUGGGGAGGUCGAUCUCGCCCACGAUCCGGCACAGCACCUGGUGCGAAGGGCAGCUUAAUGCAACUAGAGAGCCUGCAGAAAAAUAAAUGUGAACAUUAUUAUU